rnacentral:rRNA from 1 species
CCUAGGGAGGCUGCAGUGGGGAAUAUUGGACAAUGGGCGAAAGCCUGAUCCAGCCAUGCCGCGUGUGUGAAGAAGGCCUUCGGGUUGUAAAGCACUUUCAGUGGGGAAGAAAGCCUUGGGGCUAAUACCCUCGAGGAAGGACAUCACCCACAGAAGAAGCACCGGCUAACUCCGUGCCAGCAGCCGCGGUAAUACGGAGGGUGCGAGCGUUAAUCGGAAUUACUGGGCGUAAAGCGCGCGUAGGCGGUCUGAUAAGCCGGUUGUGAAAGCCCCGGGCUCAACCUGGGAACGGCAUCCGGAACUGUCAGGCUAGAGUGCAGGAGAGGAAGGUAGAAUUCCCGGUGUAGCGGUGAAAUGCGUAGAGAUCGGGAGGAAUACCAGUGGCGAAGGCGGCCUUCUGGACUGACACUGACGCUGAGGUGCGAAAGCGUGGGUAGCAAACAGGAUUAGAUACCCUGUAGUC